AUGCACAUAGAUAUACAUGCAUUCAUAUACAUUGCACAUACAUACAUGUGCAUGCACAUACUCAUACACAUGUGCACAUGCCACACAUAUUCAUAAACACACGUAUACAUGCACACAUGCUCAUAUAUAGAUGCACACACAAAUACACAUGCAUGCAUACACUCAUAAAUACACAAAUAUGCCUGCAUUCACAUGUUCAUGUGUACAUGCACACAUAUAUGCACCCAGAAACAUAUGUGUAUGUAUGUGCAUAUGCAUAUGUCUAUACACAUGGAUAUUAUGUGCAUACAUAUACAUGUAUACAGUUAUGUAUGUAUAUAUGAAUGCACACACAUGCACAUGCAUGCAUACACACAUAUCUACAUUUAUACAUGUAUGCAUACAUAUAUACUUACACAUGCUUGCAUACAUACACACAGACACAUGCACACAUAUACACAUAUAUGCAUGCACAUACAUAUACAGAUGCAUACACACAUGUACACAUACACAUGUGCACAAAUUUUACACAUGCAUGCACACACAUUGUGGUAGUUUGAAUAGGUAUGGUCCUCAUAGAUUAAUGUGUUGCAAUGCUUGGCUAGUACUAGGAGGUGUGGAGUCCUUGUUUGAGGAAAUGUGUCACUGUGUAGGCGGGAUUUGAGGUGUCCUAUGCUCAGGUUCUCUCCAGUGUGAUCCAGUUUCCUCCUGGCUAUCUUUGGAUCAAGAUGUAAAAAUCUCAGCUCCUCCACUAUCAAGUCAGCCUGCAAGAUGCCAUGCUUCCCACCAUAAUGAUAAUGGACUAAACCUCUGAAACUGUAAGCCAGCCCCAAUUAAAUAUUUUUCUUUAUAAGAGUUGCCUUGUCAUGGUGUCUCUCACAGCAAUAAAACCAAACUAAGACACACACACACACACACACACACACACACACACACACACACACACCCUACACACAUUAAAAUGCAAUUCAUAGCCUGUUUUCUAAAAAAUAACAGUCAGCCUACUCUUCCUCUUCUUUCCUUCAUGUUUAUUUUAAUUAAACUUAGCUUACAUCAACAAUUAGAAAACCUAUGUUGCAAAGCUCAUGGGACAAGGAAGCAGUAAUGUCAUUGCCCAGUCCCAGUGAGGCAGUUUUGAACAUAACAUGGAAUUCAAGAUGGUUUCAAAGCCCAUGUCACUGUACCAUCCUGAGAACUCUUGUUCUUCUCAACAGGAAAUGGCAGCUAUUGGCCAUGGUACUUCAGAGUUGUUUUAGAGCAGCACUCCCAGGUGUCAUGGUUACGGUGAUGUAUAACAUAAAACAAGAUUUGUUGAUUUAGGAAAACUACAGCACAUAUAAAAACGUCCGUUCGUAACCAUUUGCUCAGGCUGUCUUUAGAGGGAUUUGAUUGCAUCUACUAAAUCUUUCUAAAUGAAAUCUCCCUUGUGGUAGUUGUAGGUCUGCACUGUGAGUCCUGUUGGAAAGAGUUAAGAUACAAAUAUCAGGGAGUGGAGCAGAGAGUUGAGCAGCAGACCUGUGUGGAGAAUAUUGAUGGGAUGACAGAGGGCAACAGCCCUGUCCUGGAAAUGAACUAUAUUAUGAAGGCAGAUGGUCAACUCAAUAUAUGUCACUCACCAUAACUUGCUCUAAACUAAUUACCUAAUGCAAGAAACAGAUGUCUGGAAAGCCUCAUAAACAGAUAUAUGAGUGAUAUAUGGGUGACUUUUCAGUUUAGUCAAAAGGAUGGUAGCUAUUAAAAUGCCAUUGAUGUCCCAAAAUAGAAAAAAUACAUUAAGUGGCAUUUUAUUAUUCGCCCCCCACCCCAGAACUCAAAGCACUCAACAACAAGUAAUGCGACCCAUGCAUAUUAUUAGCUAUAAAAUCGGGCUAUUUAUGAGAUUGCUUACUUUGUGGAGGUCAUUGUGCCUUUAUUUAAAUUAUUGCUUCUAUGAAUUAAAUUGUUUUCUGUGACCUGUGAGCUUUAGUGCUGCUCUGGAGGGCUCAGUGACAGGCAAGCUCUGUCCCCCAUGCUCUACAGGGGUUUGCUGCCUCCUUUACAGGAAGCCACUGGGAAAGCUAAGCCCUGUUGGAAUAGAAGUGAAGUCAAGUUUCUCAACACUCACUGCAUUAGGUUGGAGAGGUCUAACCCUGACAUGUCACUUGACCUGUGACUAUCUGUGCUCUGAUUCAAGAACUCUAAUCUGAUCAAAAGUAAUCUAUACAUUCUAACUAAUACCUUAUAUCAUUUCUGUUUUUUUUUCUGUCUCAUGGCCCUUAAUAAGAAAUAUUGUCGGAUCCACCCACCAUCCCAGGAACAGAUGGCAGAAGUGUGUUGUAUGUAGUUUCCUGAGCCCUAUUAUCUAGCUCUGGGCUCACUCUUCAGUCUGGAGGAACACUGUGGGAACCCAAGAACAUCCUGCUUCUCUGUGGAAACCUUGAGGGAGUGGCAAAGCUACAAAUCUUGGAACCCUGCUCGACCAAACCCAUUCUAGUCAGAUCCACUCACCAUCCCAGUUGGUCCACCUUGUACACAGCCUGCAGAGACAGGAGCCUGUCCUCUGAGAGGCUUGACUCAGCAGCCAAUGGAAAGAGACGCAGAGACUCAUACCCAAACAUUAGAUGGAGCUCGGAGAGUCUUAUGAAAGAAGUGGAAGAAAGAUCGAGGGGCCCGAAAAGAUGGAAGGACGGGGACUUCACAGGAAGACCACCAGAGUCAACUAACCUGGACCCUUGGGGUCUUCCAGAGACUGAAUCACCAACCAAAGAGUGAGCAAGGGCUGGACAUAGUCCUCCUUGCACAUAUAAAGUAGUUGUAACACUGGACCUCAGAAGCGGGAGUUCUAGCAACCAUCUGACUGUGUCACCUUGCAGCAGCCCGAGGAAGUGUCUGAGGUGGAGAAGCCCGAGUGACUCAGCAAAACAUCUUGACAACACGGCACCUCCUAUCUGGCUUAAAAAACAACGAAGAAAAUAAGAAAGAAACAAGCCAGGUGAUGGUGGUACAGACAGGUAGGAGGCAGAGGCAGGUGGAUCUCUGAGUUCGAGAUCAACCUGGUCUACAGAGUGAGUUCCAGGACAGCCAGGGCUACAUAGAGAAGCCCUGCCCUGGAAAAACAAACAAAACCCCAAAAAACCAAAACGCCACCACCAACCGAAGAACCAAAACCACGAAACACCAUCACUAACAACAAAACACAAUCUCUGUUAACCCCUGGAGUACUGGGUUUUCAGUUUCUUAUCCCUUUGCUUUUCUCUCUGCUUGACUCCAUGUGUAUGCACUCCUAAAAACACAUUGCUUACUUUUUGCAUAUUUUAAACUUUGUAAAAAUGAAAUCUUUUGUAUUUUAUUUUGUGUGUGGAAUGGUUAGUUUUCAUUGUCAACUUGACACAAUCUAAAGUCACCAGGAAAGAACAUCUCCAGGGUUUGUUUAGAUUGGUAGGGCCUGUGGCUGUGUUUUUGAGGGGAAUAUAUUGAAUGUGCUAGUUGAGGUGGGAAGACCUGCUCUCUGUUCCUUUGCUAGGCAAGGGCUGGAAUCACACAAGAGUAGAGAAAGUGAACAGGGCACAAGCAUGUGUGUAUUAAUAUGUUCCUCUCUGCUUAAGUACAGCCGUGAUAUGACCCGCCUUCUCUAGUUCCUGUCCUGUGACUUCCUGAAAUGGGGGACUGAAACGGAGCUGGCAGCUAAAACAAGCCCUUUCUUUCCAAGCUGCCUUUGUCAGGGUGCUUGAGCGUAGCACGGACAUGAAACAGACAUCUCUGUUAUCAAUUUUGUCAUCCAUAUUGGAAUAUGGGAGCCACAGUUCAUUUGGCUCACUCGUUUCCAAUAUUAUAUUAUAUUAUAUUAUAUUAUAUUAUAUUAUAUUAUUAUGUCAUAUACUAUACUCUAUUACAUUAUAGAAUUUCAUUGAGCGAGUGUAGCACAUUUUCUUCUAUUAUGGGGAGUUUGUUCUGUACAUUCUUACAUUUGUUUCCUGGGGCUUUUUGAAAACUCUAGUGGGAACUGAAUGAAACAUGAGAUGCUCUCGGCAGCGGUGUGCAAGCGUUCUGACACUCCAUAGUCUUGCUAUUGCUAAUAUAGAGUCUGACUUGAUGGUUUCUGUCUGUCUGGUGGUUUUCAGUGUGGUUUUUAUUCACGGUUUCAAUUUGCACCCCAUCAGUUUGAAAUAGAGGGAUUAUACCUAUGCUUAUUGGCUCUUUGUGUUUCCUGCUCAUAGAGAUAUUUGUUUAUACCUUUUGCCCAUUAAAUUGUUUAUCCUUUUCAUUUUUAUGAGCUGGUAAGCAUUCUACCUAAUCUCCUUCUUAUUGUAUGAAUUUCAACAACAUCCCACCAAUUAGUGAUUACUUUCACCUGACAAAUAAUGCCUCUUAAUGGCGGGAGAUGUCUCAGUGGUUUACAACGCUUGCUGCUCUUGUAGAGAAC